GGGGCGGUAGCUCAGUUGGGAGAGCGCCUGCUUGGCGUGUAGGAGGUCGGGGGUUCAAGUCCCCUCCGCUCCACCA
rnacentral:tRNA from 2 species